rnacentral:rRNA from 1 species
AUUGAACGCUGGCGGCAUGCUUUACACAUGCAAGUCGAACGGCAGCGGGGGCUUCGGCCCGCCGGCGAGUGGCGAACGGGUGAGUAAUGCAUCGGAACGUGCCCAGUCGUGGGGGAUAACACAUCGAAAGAUGUGCUAAUACCGCAUACGUCCUGAGGGAGAAAGCGGGGGAUCUUCGGACCUCGCGCGAUUGGAGCGGCCGAUAUCGGAUUAGCUAGUUGGUGGGGUAAAAGCCCACCAAGGCGACGAUCCGUAGCGGGUCUGAGAGGAUGAUCAGCCACACUGGAACUGAGACACGGUCCAGACUCCUACGGGAGGCAGCAGUGGGGAAUAUUGGGCAAUGGGCGAAAGCCUGACCCAGCGACGCCGCGUGUGGGAGGAAGCCUUUCGGGGUGUAAACCACUGUCAGAGGGGACGAACCGUACCGGUGGGAAUACUGCCGGUGCCUGACGGUACCCUCAAAGGAAGCGCCGGCUAACUCCGUGCCAGCAGCCGCGGUAAAUC